UACGUAGGGGGCAAGCGUUGUCCGGAUUUAUUGGGCGUAAAGAGCGUGUAGGCGGCCAGGCAGGUCAGCUGUGAAAACUCGAGGCUCAACCUCGAGACGCCGGUUGAAACCGUCUGGCUAGAGUCCGGAAGAGGAGAGUGGAAUUCCUGGUGUAGCGGUGAAAUGCGCAGAUAUCAGGAAGAACACCCGUGGCUAAGGCGGCUCUCUAGUACGGUACUGACGCUGAGACGCGAAAGCGUGGGGAGCGAACAGG
rnacentral:rRNA from 1 species